UUUCACAGAGAAUAAAACACUUCUUAGAAGCCCAGAUACCUUUUCCUUGUCUUCUUACAGCAAAAAUAAGCAAAAGGAAUUCAUUCUCAAGUGUCACUGGAUGCUUACGCUUGCUUUUCUACUGUUUUGUGUUAAGAGGCUACGUGAAUAUGCCCAGCCUGGUCUGCUGCAGGAUGAGGUACUACUGUAGAUGAGUCAUCCCUACCAUCAGAGCCAAGGCCAAAGUAGAUCAUCCAAUGACCACCACCCGGACAUGUGCGUAAACUCGUCUAAAAUCAGCAGACGUACACAGAUAACAUGCAGGUGACCACAGAAAAAUGUAUAAACCCAGGUGAGGUCAGUAAGGCCAUCCCACGAAUAUGUAAGCUAAAUAAAUCUUUAUUGUUUCCUGUCACUAAAAUUUUGCAAUUGAUAUGUUAUAAUCUUAAUAGAUAAUUGAUACCAUUUUCCCCAACAACCAUUCCUCCCCAUUUCUACUCCAGCUAGGUUGCUUGCAUUUACUAAUCUGGAUCAAGCAGAAAAAAAAAAAUUAAGGGAUUCACGAGACUUUCAAC